rnacentral:lncRNA from 1 species
GAUUUAACCCAGGACCUCAGGCAUACUAGGCAAGCACUGAACUGCAUCCUCAUCCCUUUUUAUUUUUUAUUUGAGACAGAGUUUUGAAAGUUGCCCAGGCUGGCCUCAAGCUUGCAAUACCACCCCCUCAGCAUCCGGAGUAGCUGUGAUUACAGGCAUGUGCCACCACAUCCAGUUGGAAUUUCAUAAUUUAAUAUUUAAAAUAGUUUUUUUUUUAAUUCCUGAAUGGUUCUGGUAAGCAAGGAUGAGAAAUAGAAAUAUCUGGGUGAUUGAGAAACAUGGGAACAUAAUUUGGCCAAAAUCAAAUGGAAGAACUAAAAUAGUCACGUUGGGAUAAGAAUUUUAGAUUCUAGAUAUUCCACCUGUAGCAUAUCUUGUUUUUUAAAAACUCCUGAGUACCUGGGAUUACAGAUGUGCACCACUGUUUCUGACUUAAAGCUAGUUAUUGAAUCUUUUUCCUCUUCUUUUUUAAAAAAUUAAGAUAAUUUGUAUAAAGUUUACCCUUUCUAGUUUAAGUUCUGUGGACUUGGACACAUUAAUAUAUGAGUGAACCACCACCACAGUCCAGAUUCAAAAUAUUUGUUAUCACCCCCAAACUCCGCAGGCCUUGUUGUUGUCAACUCUUAUCCCUUAUCUUCAGUUCCUGGCAACCACUGAUCUGUUUUCUGUCCCUGUGUUUUUGCUUUAGCAUGAAUGCCAUAUAAAUAGAAUCAUACAGUAUAUAGGCUUAUUUUACACCAUCAAGUUUUAAACAUGUAUUCUUAAGAUUUAUAUUAGAACCAGGCAUAUCGACAUUCACCUAUAAUCCCAGUUACUCUGGAGGCAGAGGCAGGAUAAUUAUAAAUUUGAGGCCAGCCUGGGUAAUUUAGCAAGACUGUCUUAAAAUAAAAAAAAUAAAAAGUUCUGGGGUUGUAUCUCAUUGAUAGAGUGCCCUGAAUUCAGUCCCUAUUACUGCAAAAAAAAAAAAAAAAAAAAAGUAAAAUUUACUCUGGGUUACAGUUAUAUAAGCUUUGAUAAAUUAUGCAUCGAGGUAUGUAAUAACCAUUACAAUCAAGGUAUGGAACAGUCCUAUUAGCCUACCCCCACCAAAUUCACUCCUGCUACUUUAUAGUUAAAACCAGUCCCCUAUAACUAACCUCUAGUAAUCAUUGAUUUGUCUUUGUCCUUAUGGUUUAUGUUUUGAAGAAUGUUAUAUAAGUGGAAUUAUACAGUGGAAUUAUACAGAUGUAACUUUUUGAGAUUCAAUUUGCUAAUAAUAAAUUUGAGAUUUACCAAUGUCAUUGGUUGUUAACAUUAGUUCUUGUUCCUGAGUCAUAUGCCAUUGUGUGGAUGUACUACCAUUUGUUUUAUCUACCAUUUUAGAUUCU